AUGGCGGCUGCCGCGACGGCGACGGCGGCGGCGGCGGGGAAUCUCCCGUUCCCGCUGCUCACGAGGACAAACUACGCGGCGUGGGCGAUGAGCAUGAAGUACCUCCUGCGGGCCAACGGCACAUGGGCUGCCGUUGAUCACGAGGCGUCGUCCACGGAGGUCGACAAGGGCAAGGAGGAGAUGGCCAUGACGAUCAUCUCCCAGUCGAUCGACGACACAACGCUGCUGCGAGUUGCGGAGAAGGAGACCGCCGCCGAUGUGUGGGCGGCGCUACGCUCCAUGCACGUGGGCGUCGAGCGCGUCCGAGAGGCGAGGAUUCAGUCCUUGUGCUCGGAGUUUGACGGCCUCAAGAUGGGUGAUGCGGAGUCCGUGGAUGACCUCGCGGUGAGGUUCACGACGCUCGUGGGGCGCAUCCAUGAGCUUGGUGAUGCGAUGGAGGAGAAGUACGUCAUGAAGAAGCUGCUCCGAGCUUUCUCCAACAAGUUCAUUCACGUUGCGUCUUCAAUUGCAUUGUUGGGCGACACCAACAAGAUGGCCAUGGAGGAGGCCAUUGGUUCACCCAAGGCGCAUGAGGAGCUUGUGAAGGGACGGGAGACGGGGCGUGAAGAGGAGCAACUUCUGAUGGCGAGGGGACACGACUCGUCGCGAGGACGGGGUCAUGGUCGUGGACGCGGUGGAGGGCGCAAAGACAAAAGCGAGGUACAGUGUUACAAUUGUCGUCAACUUGGUCACUUUGCCUGGGAGUGUCCGGAGAAGAAGAAGGAGAAUGAGGAGAAGGCGCUGCUGGCCGGCUACGGCAGCGACGGGCUCUUCUUUGAAUCCUUGCGCUCGGAGUUUCACGGCCUCAAGAUGGGUGAUGCGGAGUCCGUGGAUGACUUUGCGGUGAGGUUCACGACGCUCGUGGGGUGCAUCCGUGAGCUUGGUGAUGCGAUGGAGGAGAAGUACGUCAUGAAGAAGAUGCUCCAAGCCAUAUCCAACAAGUUCAUCCACGUUGAGUCUUCAAUUGCAUUGUUCGGCGACACCAACAAGAUGGCCAUGGAGGAGGCCAUUGGUUCACUCAAGGCGCAUGAGGAGCUUGUCAAGGGACGGGAGACGGGGCGUGAAGAGGAGCAACUUCUGAUGGGGUACGUGCGAGGCAUACACCUGAUGGUUCAGUUUGAAGAGCAUGCAUGAGAGAAAACGGCAGGCUGUGUGAUACAGCGGCCACCAAAACCAGAGUUCUUCUAUUCCUCGAGAGUUCUACGUGAGGUAGAAGAGAGGAAGAAGAAGCGGCUGAGCGAUUCAGCUCCAACAGCAUCUAAGCACGACCUCGUGAUACAGAACUUCGCCAAACUUCCGGUGGGCGUCGUGUGCGCCACAUACAUGCAGUUCAAAGGCAGAGGGAACUACGGCGGGCUUAUGCCUACUGAACUAUAUUCGAAACUAUCAGAGUGUAUAGCAGAUUAG
rnacentral:rRNA from 1 species